UUUAUGGAGAGUUUGAUCCUGGCUCAGGAUGAACGCUGGCGGCGUGCCUAAUACAUGCAAGUCGAGCGAACAGACGAGGAGCUUGCUCCUCUGACGUUAGCGGCGGACGGGGGAGUAACACGUGGAUAACCUACCUAUAAGACUGGGAUAACUUCGGGAAACCGGAGCUAAUACCGGAUAAUAUAUUGAACCGCAUGGUUCAAUAGUGAAAGACGGUUUUGCUGUCACUUAUAGAUGGA
rnacentral:rRNA from 1 species